rnacentral:rRNA from 1 species
GAUGAACGCUGGCGGCGUGCCUAAUACAUGCAAGUCGAGCGAACAGACGAGGAGCUUGCUCCUCUGACGUUAGCGGCGGACGGGUGAGUAACACGUGGAUAACCUACCUAUAAGACUGGGAUAACUUCGGGAAACCGGAGCUAAUACCGGAUAAUAUAUUGAACCGCAUGGUUCAAUAGUGAAAGACGGUUUUGCUGUCACUUAUAGAUGGAUCCGCGCCGCAUUAGCUAGUUGGUAAGGUAACGGCUUACCAAGGCAACGAUGCGUAGCCGACCUGAGAGGGUGAUCGGCCACACGGGAACGGAGACACGGUCAAGACGCCUACGGGAGGCAGCAGUAGGGAAUCUUCCGCAAUGGGCGAAAGCCUGACGGAGCAACGCCGCGUGAGUGAUGAAGGUCUUCGGAUCGUAAAACUCUGUUAUUAGGGAAGAAAAAAUGUGUAAGUAACUAUGCACGUCUUGACGGUACCUAAUCAGAAAGCCACGGCUAACUAC